UUGCCCUUUUUUUUAGGAGUGUUCCCUGGAAAAGAGGGACGGAUGAACCUGGAAGGCCAAAUCCUUGUAGCUGUCUUCUUGCCCCGGUCAGUGCCAGCCGUACUAUUCACAACACUGCUGCUACCGAGGCCUAGGAUCAGUUCUUAAGAGCAGCCCCGGUAACUGGAGGAAUGGGAGCCGUUUUGAUGAGAAAAAUGGGCUGGAGAGAAGGAGAAGGAUUAGGAAAAAACAAAGAAGGCAAUAAGGAACCCAUCCUAGUUGAUUUUAAGACAGACCGAAAAGGUCUUGUUGCAGUAGGAGAAAGAGCACAAAAGAGGUCUGGGAACUUCUCUGCUGCAAUGAAAGAUCUGUCAGGCAAACAUCCUGUGUCUGCUUUGAUGGAGAUCUGUAAUAAAAGAAGGUGGCAACCACCUGAAUUUCUAUUGGUCCAUGAUAGUGGCCCUGAUCAUCGCAAACAUUUUCUCUUUAGGGUAUUGAUAAAUGGAAGCGCUUACCAGCCC
rnacentral:sRNA from 1 species